UACGUAGGGUGCGAGCGUUGUCCGGAAUUAUUGGCGUAAAGAGCUCGUAGGCGGUCUGUCGCGUCUGCUGUGAAAACUCAGGGCUCAACCCUGAGCGUGCUUCCGAUACGGGCAGACUAGAGGUAUGCAGGGGAGACGGAAUUCCUGGUGUAGCGGUGGAAUGCGCAGAUAUCAGGAGGAACACCGGUGGCGAAGGCGGUUCUCUGGGCAUGACCUGACCGCUGGAGGGAAGCGGAAAGCAUGGGGAGCGA
rnacentral:rRNA from 1 species